CAGUUUACAAAAGCGAAUGAGUUAGUGAUCUAAUAAGUGGUGAUGAAGAAAUAUUCAUACCAAGUCGAGAGGUGUUAAUCAGCAAUAAAAAGGAAAAAAGGUUUUAACAAUUUCAUGGAACUGUUUCGCAUCAAAAGUAAGAAGAAAUCCGAUUUUGGUCAAUUCCAAGCAAACAGAAAGUUUUAUUUACCAAUGAAUAUCCUACACGUUCACCUAACAUUUCUUAUUUUAUUCCAUUUCUUCGGUGGAUUUUGAUGUUCGGCGUUCAAUUCCGUAAAGGUGUCGUUUAUUUGGGGAAUUUCUGCCCAAAUAUUAUUUCAUAUUUUUUAUCAUUUUCGAUUUUUGUUGCAUUCUUAUAAAUUCGAUGCUCGUAGUUCUAGUAUUAUCCUUCCUGACUACUUAUCAUUCAUACAACAAGUACCGCACAUAAAUUCCUGUCUGCAUGCAUGAAAACCCAUCCUGGAAAAAUAGAAUUACCAUUGUUUAAACUUUUUGUGUAAAGUUGUUAACCAAAAAUAGAUAUGGGAAUAAUGCAAGUAAAGUAAAUUAUUUUUAUA